UUGUCUGAUUUAACCUGGACAGGAAGCCAAUGAAGAGAUGCCAGAAUGGGUGUAAUGUGGUCAAACCAUCUGCUUUGUGUCAGAAGUCUGGCAGCAACAUUUUGAACUAAUUGCAGACCCCUAAUGCCGGACUACGAUAAACCAGAAUAUAGAACAUUGGAAUAGUCCAAUCUGGAAGA